CCCCUCUCAAGGUCGCACCUGGAGAGUUUCCAGUCCUCUACCAGUCUCGGCUACGGGAGAAAGAGUCAAGCAGAGGCCUAACCCAUUCCAUUCCUAGCUUGACCAGUGGCUAGCCAGUGGAAGACAAUCGGCUCCAAGU
rfam:Ornithorhynchus anatinus chromosome X1, whole genome shotgun sequence.